rnacentral:tRNA from 1 species
GGCCACUGCCUGUGGCGCAAUGGUAGCGUGUGUGACUCCGGAUCAAACGGUUGUCCGUUCUAGUCGGGCCGGGGUCA